CUGUUUGAAAAACACAGAUAUAGUUAUUUGUGUGUGUGAAUGUACCUUAUCAUGAUAAACACAUUCCCCUAUACAGGAACUUCUUUCUGGGCCUCCACAGCACAGCAGUCAGGCUCCUCCCACCCAUGUGACUGAUCACAUGGUAAGGACAUCAUCUAAGAUUCUCUACCAUCCCAUACACAGCCCAAUGUUCGGCAGUAAAUCGCUCCACUGUGCUGCUGUUGCUGCUGCCUGAAACCUCUGCUGGUACAGGGAGGAGAGGACAGAUGCAGUAUUUUACGCCUUUGGAUCUGAUAAUAAGGCGGAGUGACUUCAUAUUGGUAUAGGAACCCCGGUGGAUGUGGAUCCACUGGAAAUGUGUGGCAGAUGACUCGGACUGUACCAGGGAGUGGAGUCUAAGGUACCGCUGGUUUUCACCAGAGCCCGCCACAAAGCAGGAUGGACUUUUAAUGUGGGAGCACAUCUGAACGUUAGUCCUGGUUUAUCUGGAGAGAGAUCCCCACUUGUGGCUUAUCAAGACAUUUGUCCUGGUUACUGUAUGCGGCUCCAGAUCAGAUCUUUACUUCACUGAACCUUUCAAUACAUCCGAGGUGCUUUGAUGUUGCACUGUGAGCGCCGCGGCAAAAGGAAUUCUUAACAAAAAGAAAAGGAAUAGACACAAAAUGUUUAAUAUGAUGUAUGUUACAAUACUCAAGGAAGCUGUAGGCUGCAUUUGUCGGAAAUGACUGCAGAUAAGUUGUAAAAUGAAAAAGAUAAUAAAGAACUUGUUUAAAAAGUUUUCUUUGUUAUAAUCUGUAAUGGGACCUGCAGUGCCCCCACAGGGAACGUGAAGAAUUACAAAUGUUUGAUCCUCCAGAGAUAAAGAGACUUGCUUUGUAACCACUCAGCUCCGUCUAUAGUAAUUGAUGGAGGUUAAAUAGAUGGAAUCUCAGGGUUCAUUCACAUUACAGAAUUUCUAUCCGGAAGUCUUCUGAGUGGAGACUUCAUCUGCUGCUGCGACUCA